CGCGUAGGCGGUGCGGUAAGUUAGGCGUGAAAGGCCCGGGCUCAACCCGGGAACUGCGCUUAAGACUGCCGCGCUCUGAGUCCGAGAGAGGAUAGCGGAAUUCCCAGUGUAGAGGUGAAAUUCGUAGAUAUUGGGAAGAACACCAGUGGCGAAGGCGGCUAUCUGGCUCGGUACUGACGCUGAGGCGCGAAAGCGUGGGGAGCAAACAGGAUUAGAUACCCUGGUAGUCCACGCCGUAAACGAUGAGUGCUAGACGUUGGAAGGCUUGCCUUUCAGUGUCGCAGCUAACGCGUGAAGCACUCCGCCUGGGGAGUACGGUCGCAAGAUUAAA
rnacentral:rRNA from 1 species